rnacentral:rRNA from 1 species
AUUGAACGCUGGCGGCAUGCCUUACACAUGCAAGUCGAACGGCAGCACGGGGGCAACCCUGGUGGCGAGUGGCGAACGGGUGAGUAAAGCAUCGGAACGUAUCCGGAAGUGGGGGAUAACGUAGCGAAAGUUACGCUAAUACCGCAUAUUCUGUGAGCAGGAAAGUGGGGGACCGCAAGGCCUCACGCUUUCGGAGCGGCCGAUGUCGGAUUAGCUAGUUGGCGGGGUAAAGGCCCACCAAGGCGACGAUCCGUAGCGGGUCUGAGAGGAUGAUCCGCCACACUGGGACUGAGACACGGCCCAGACUCCUACGGGAGGCAGCAGUGGGGAAUUUUGGACAAUGGGCGCAAGCCUGAUCCAGCCAUGCCGCGUGAGUGAAGAAGGCCUUCGGGUUGUAAAGCUCUUUCGGCGGGGAAGAAAUUGCUUAGGUUAAUACCUUGAGUAGAUGACGGUACCCGCAUAAGAAGCACCGGCUAACUACGUGCCAGCAGCCGCCGUAAAAC